CAACAGGGAUUCCCCUAGUAACGGCGAGUGAAGCGGGAACAGCUCAAAUUUGAAAUCUGGCCCUUGGGUCCGAGUUGUAAUUUGCAGAGGAUGCUUUUGGUGCGGUGCCUUCCGAGUUCCCUGGAACGGGACGCCUUAGAGGGUGAGAGCCCCGUACGGUUGGCCACCAAGCCUGUGUAAAGCUCCUUCGACGAGUCGAGUAGUUUGGGAAUGCUGCUCAAAAUGGGAGGUAUAUUUCUUCUAAAGCUAAAUACUGGCCAGAGACCGAUAGCGCACAAGUAGAGUGAUCGAAAGAUGAAAAGCACUUUGAAAAGAGGGUUAAAUAGCACGUGAAAUUGUUGAAAGGGAAGGAUUUAUGACCAGACUUUUUCUGGGGGGAUCAUCCGGUGUUCUCACCGGUGCACUUCCCCCAGUUGAGGCCAGCAUCGGUUUCUGCCGGGGGAUAAAAGCUUUGGGAAUGUGGCUCCUUCGGGAGUGUUAUAGCCCGUUGCAUAAUACCCUGGCGGGGACCGAGGUUCGCGCAUUGCAAGGAUGCUGGCGUAAUGGUUAUUAAUCACCCGUCUUGAAACACGGACCAAGGAGUCGAACAUUUGUGCGAGUGUUUGGGUGUUAAACCCUCACGCGUAAUGAAAGUGAACGGAGGUGAGAGCCUUUAGGGGUGCAUCAUCGACCGAUCCUGAUGUCUUCGGAUGGAUUUGAGUAAGAGCAUAACUGUUCGGACCCGAAAGAUGGUGAACUAUGCGUGGAUAGGGUGAAGCCAGAGGAAACUCUGGUGGAGGCUCGCAGCGGUUCUGACGUGCAAAUCGAUCGUCAAAUCUGCGCAUGGGGGCGAAAGACUAAUCGAACCAU
rnacentral:rRNA from 2 species